GACGAACGCUGGCGGCGUGCUUAACACAUGCAAGUCGAACGGAAAGGCCCUGCUUUUGUGGGGUGCUCGAGUGGCGAACGGGUGAGUAACACGUGAGUAACCUGCCCUUGACUUUGGGAUAACUUCAGGAAACUGGGGCUAAUACCGGAUAGGAGCUCCUGCUGCAUGGUGGGGGUUGGAAAGUUUCGGCGGUUGGGGAUGGACUCGCGGCUUAUCAGCUUGUUGGUGGGGUAGUGGCUUACCAAGGCUUUGACGGGUAGCCGGCCUGAGAGGGUGACCGGCCACAUUGGGACUGAGAUACGGCCCAGACUCCUACGGGAGGCAGCAGUGGGGAAUAUUGCACAAUGGGCGGAAGCCUGAUGCAGCAACGCCGCGUGCGGGAUGACGGCCUUCGGGUUGUAAACCGCUUUCGCCUGUGACGAAGCGUGAGUGACGGUAAUGGGUAAAGAAGCACCGGCUAACUACGUGCCAGCAGCCGCGGUGAUACGUAGGGUGCGAGCGUUGUCCGGAUUUAUUGGGCGUAAAGGGCUCGUAGGUGGUUGAUCGCGUCGGAAGUGUAAUCUUGGGGCUUAACCCUGAGCGUGCUUUCGAUACGGGUUGACUUGAGGAAGGUAGGGGAGAAUGGAAUUCCUGGUGGAGCGGUGGAAUGCGCAGAUAUCAGGAGGAACACCAGUGGCGAAGGCGGUUCUCUGGGCCUUUCCUGACGCUGAGGAGCGAAAGCGUGGGGAGCGAACAGGCUUAGAUACCCUGGUAGUCCACGCUGUAAACGGUGGGUACUAGGUGUGGGGUCCAUUCCACGGGUUCCGUGCCGUAGCUAACGCUUUAAGUACCCCGCCUGGGGAGUACGGCCGCAAGGCUAAAACUCAAAGGAAUUGACGGGGCCCCGCACAAGCGGCGGAGCAUGCGGAUUAAUUCGAUGCAACGCGUAGAACCUUACCUGGGUUUGACAUGGAUCGGGAGCGCUCAGAGAUGGGUGUGCCUCUUUUGGGGUCGGUUCACAGGUGGUGCAUGGCUGUCGUCAGCUCGUGUCGUGAGAUGUUGGGUUAAGUCCCGCAACGAGCGCAACCCUUGUUCACUGUUGCCAGCACGUUAUGGUGGGGACUCAGUGGAGACCGCCGGGGUCAACUCGGAGGAAGGUGGGGAUGACGUCAAGUCAUCAUGCCCCUUAUGUCCAGGGCUUCACGCAUGCUACAAUGGCUGGUACAGAGAGUGGCGAGCCUGUGAGGGUGAGCGAAUCUCGGAAAGCCGGUCUCAGUUCGGAUUGGGGUCUGCAACUCGACCUCAUGAAGUCGGAGUCGCUAGUAAUCGCAGAUCAGCAACGCUGCGGUGAACACGUUCCCGGG
rnacentral:rRNA from 1 species